AUGACAAUUCUCUUUAUUUUGAGCUUCUUUAUCAGGUUUACAAGACCAACGAGAAUGUCAUCGUGUGUGAUGUAAUGUGCCUUAACCUGCAAAGAUACAUGCCCUGUUUAUGAAACAUGUCUUCUCUGAAAUAGCAGAACCUGAACCAUAGAAGCCUCACCUCAAACACGAAAAGGUGAAGAUAUCUGGAAGUGGUCCAAAAGGCUAACGAAAGUACCUAAUUGUGCUGCACCACUUUUCAUCAACCCAGAGGCAUCUUUUCCCUUUUGUGCCUUUGCUCUUCCUAGGAAGUGUCAGCUCAUAGAAGGCCUGAAGGAGAGGCAAUGAUGGUGGUUUUAAAUAGUGGCCUUGGAUUUGGUCUUCCUCUGACUGUAUCCAGCAGCAGUGAGCACACUAUCAGGAAAACUUGUCUGAUUCGGGUGAAAUUUCCGUGAAAUUUCCACUACUUCCAAGGAACUGCUGUACAUGCCUGCCCCUCGUUGACUGACUUUUGAUGUGUAGCAACAAAGUCGUCCAAUUAGAUGGUGAUCAUCCCA